AACGAACGCUGGCGGCGUGCCUAAUACAUGCAAGUAGAACGCAGUUGCGCACGGGUGAGUAACACGUAGGUAACUGCCCCAUAGCGGGGGAUAACUAUUUGAAACGGUAGCUAAUACCCCAUACAUUGGGAUAGAUCUGCGUUGUAUUUGCUAGUUGGUGAGGUAAAGGCUCACCAAGGCGACGAUACAUAGCCGACCUGAGAGGGUGAUCGGCCCAACUUGGACUGAGACACGGCCCCGACCCCUACGGGAGGCAGCAGUAGGGAAACUUCGGCAAUGGACGGAAGUCUGACUGAGCAACGGCGGGGGGGUGAAGAAGGUUUUCGGAUCGUAAAGCUCUGUUGUUAGAGAAGCGGUACCUAACCAGAAAGGGACGGCUAACUACGUGCCAGCAGCCGCGGUAAUAC
rnacentral:rRNA from 1 species